GCGGCUUCCUGAAGGCAAAUGGCUGAAGAACUUCUACCAAGGACGCGAUUUAAGACGAAUUUGCCAGCGCUGGGGGUACUGAGUGCUUAUGUGUUGAGGCAGGCCACUAAAGAAUUCCAAAAGGAGCUUAGAAAUGCCAUCUGCUGGGGUGGUGAUCAUUUUCUGACAUGGUCACAGAAACCAUACGUGCAGAUUUCUAAAAAAUGCUUGGAUUUUAAAGAAUGUUCUUGAGGAAGCAACAGAACAGUGGUUUGGCUGCGGCACUCAGUAGCGCGUGCUUUUUCUCCAGGGAGUAAUUGAUGGUUAAUCCCAGGGUUCUCUGCUCUGAACGGCAGCCUGGGGCACAAAGCUGUCCGGAGUGGGUCCCGCCACCCUCUGCUCAGCUCCAGUUCGAUCCCCACCAAUUGCCACACUGCCAGGCACUCCAGACAGGUGGCUCCCCGGCCUUUCUCAGGGGGCGUCUUCCGUCCGUCCGGGAAACGCGUUCUGCUCCUCUUCCCGACCUCUUGCCAGGCCCAGCUGCCAGCUCCUCCCCGGUUCCCCCCUACUCUGCACAUGGGUGCACUCCAGCAUUUGACCAGCUCUGGAGUUGAUCAUUUCCUUGUUGCCUGCGUCUCAGAAGACUUCAAACUUCGCUGUAUAUUCCUGCAUGAUGAGGAACUGUUUCUGCCCAGGCCAUAUGCCCGGAUGUGAGUGGCAAAUAAGCCAAAUGAAAUAAAAACAGAAACCUGGCAGGCCACACCUCCCUAAACCGGGACAAGCAGUACUGAGCUGAUCAAUUCUGCUCCUAAACAGCAGCCCACAUGACUGGCACAGGGCGUUUCCACAAUGGAGGCAUGUGUCUUCGAAUGUGUGCACACAGUUGUGAGUUUCUGAGUGCACAUGUACACGCGCAUGGACAGGUAAACACACACCCCCACCACAGAGAAUAUUUACUCCUACUGACAUGAGAAACAAAUUGUUUUUCUUUUACUAAAACCCACAAACAUUAAAAAUUAGUCACUUUAUGUCAACAUAUUUAGUCUCUUGUUCUUGUAAAGGCAGAGCUGCGUAUUUUCCAAGUUCUCAUUUAACCACAGGAGCAGGUGGGUGACAGCCACACCCCACAAUGCAUCGUCAAGGCAGGAGCAUGACUCGAAAUCAUCCACUGUUUCUGUAUUCUCAAGAUCCCUAUCGCUGAUCUCCACAGGCUCUCCCAUGCUGACACUCCAGGGUUGCAGCAUCCCGACUUGCUUUGUGAAUCCAGAUCUCUCCACCUUUCCACCCUUAUGCAUCUCACUGUUGCACUGUUACGCCCUGACCGUGCCAGUGCAAUGGACCCAGCCUGAUCUCCACAACGUGAUGCUGCCUGUUCCUCCAUGUGGUCGGUACAAGCGCUGGCCCCUCUCUCAGCUGCUGCCCUCUUCUCUUUCCCACCUUUGCUUGCCAAGACCUUCACAGCCGGCUCCACAGCUGUCGGGGAUGUGGCUCCCGCCCUCCCGUGCCUGGCACUGGUCAGCACAGUUGGACCAGUUGCUGGCAAAGGCUGCUUGUGCCUCUUGAGUGGAGAUGAGCGAAGGAGGACUGAAUGCACCUGUCUGCAGGGUGAAACUGAUGUCUACCUGGCCUGGGCCCCUGCCGUGGGGUUGCUCAGCUCUCUGAAGGCUGGGCAGAGUAAGGAAUCCUCCUGUUUGCCCCUUCCAUCUGGGCCUUUCAUCAGGAGUAGGGGAGAGUAGGGGAAAAGAACUGGCUGGGAAGCAUGGAGCCGCGCUCUAGGGGACGCUGCAGAUGCGCAUUUUAUUUCUUUGGAGGGAAGCUGAAAGGGCCCAAUUUUUAAUGACCCUGAAGAAACAGGAUUUGUUACUUGGGGGUGUUCUGAACUUUCAGGGCAUGGGUCCCUGGAGGAAGAAUUUAAUCCCCCUGGGAAAACAAAGACAUCAUAGAAGCUGCCCAGCCUGGCUGAAUGUACUUCGGGACAGAGCUUGCCAUCACUUAAUAAGGUCUCUAUUGUGUGUGUGUGUGUGUGUGUGUGUGUGUGUGUGUGUGUGUGUGUGUGUGUGAUGGGGAAUUUCUUCCUCAGUGAGCUUGGAACUCAGGGACCUUGCAGUUUGGUUAGCAGUCUCACUGCUUUGGUGGAAACAAAGUGUGUCUUUGACGGAAUAAACAGAAAUGGAACGAAAA